rnacentral:rRNA from 1 species
CGGCGUGCUUAAUACAUGCAAGUAGAACGCUGAAGAGAGGAGCUUGCUCUUCUUGGAUGAGUUGCGAACGGGUGAGUAACGCGUAGGUAACCUGCCUUGUAGCGGGGGAUAACUAUUGGAAACGAUAGCUAAUACCGCAUAACAAUGGAUGACACAUGUCAUUUAUUUGAAAGGGGCAAUUGCUCCACUACAAGAUGGACCUGCGUUGUAUUAGCUAGUAGGUGAGGUAACGGCUCACCUAGGCGACGAUACAUAGCCGACCUGAGAGGGUGAUCGGCCACACUGGGACUGAGACACGGCCCAGACUCCUACGGGAGGCAGCAGUAGGGAAUCUUCGGCAAUGGGGGCAACCCUGACCGAGCAACGCCGCGUGAGUGAAGAAGGUUUUCGGAUCGUAAAGCUCUGUUGUAAGUCAAGAACGAGUGUGAGAGUGGAAAGCUCACACUGUGACGGUAGCUUACCAGAAAGGGACGGCUAACUACGUGCCAGCAGCCGCGGU